rnacentral:rRNA from 1 species
AACAGGAUCAGAUACCCUGGUAGUCCACGCUGUAAACGAUGUCGAUUUGGAGGUUGUGCCCAUGAGUCGUGGCUUCCGGAGAUAACGCGUUAAAUCGACCGCUUGGGGAGUACGGCCGCAAGGUUAAAACUCAAAUGAAUUGACGGGGGCCCGCACAAGCGGUGGAGCAUGUGGUUUAAUUCGAUGCAACGCGAAGAACCUUACCUACUCUUGACAUCCAGAGAACUUUCCAGAGAUGGAUUGGUGCCUUCGGGAACUCUGAGACAGGUGCUGCAUGGCUGUCGUCAGCUCGUGUUGUGAAAUGUUGGGUUAAGUCCCGCAACGAGCGCAACCCUUAUCCUUUGUUGCCAGCGGUUCGGCCGGGAACUCAAAGGAGACUGCCAGUGAUAAACUGGAGGAAGGUGGGGAUGACGUCAAGUCAUCAUGGCCCUUACGAGUAGGGCUACACACGUGUUACAAUGGCGUAUACAAAGAGAAGCGACCUCGCGAGAGCAAGCGGACCUCAUAAAGUACGUCGUAGUCCGGAUUGGAGUCUGCAACUCGAUUCCAUGAAGUCGGAAUCGCUAGUAAUCGUAGAUCAGAAUGCUACGGUGAAUACGUUCCCGGGCCUUGUACACACCGCCCGUCACACCAUGGGAGUGGGUUGCAAAAGAAGUAGGUAGCUUAACCUUCGGGAGGGCGCUUACCACUUUGUGAUUCAUGACUGGGGUGAAGUAGUAACAAGGUAACCAA